AUUGAACGCUGGCGGCAGGCCUAACACAUGCAAGUCGAGCGGAGCGGCGGACGGGUGCGUAAUGCCUAGGAAUCUGCCUGGUAGUGGGGGAUAACGUCCGGGAACGGGCGCUAAUACCGCAUGCUAUCAGAUGAGCCUAGGUCGGAUUAGCUAGUUGGUGGGGCAAAGGCCUACAAAGGCGACGGUCCGUAACUGGUCUGAGAGGAUGAUCAGUCACACUGGAACUGAGACACGGUCCAGAUUCCUACGGGAGUCAGCAUUGGGGAAUAUUGGACAUUGGGCGAAAUCCUGAUCCAGCAAUGCCGCGUGUGUGAAGAAGGUCUUCGGAUUGUAAAGCACUUUAAGUUGGGAGGCGUUACCAACAGAAUAAGCACCGGCUAACUUCGUGCCAGCAGCCGCGGUAAUUC
rnacentral:rRNA from 1 species